UGUAGAGGGCUCCUCAUAUUUUUUUAAACUUUCACCCCAAUUAACUUAUGUUCCAAUUAGAUGGAAAUGACAAAUGAGGAAUACCUAGCGUAGCUCUGUUGUUUAUUCAACGUCAGAGGGCAUAUGCGCUAUAUAUCACGGAUCACGGAAAAUAUGAAAUUUGAUUUUGUCGAAGAAAAUCAACCCUUAUCAGAUGUAGAGUUUAAAAUAGAAGAGAAGUCUUUAUGUGCUCAUAAGAUAGUAUUAACAAUGAAGAGUGAUGUUUUUAAAAAUAUGUUUUGUGGCAGUAUUCCAUUUAAAGAUGAACCAGUUUUAAUCAAAGAUAUUGAAUAUAAAGUGUUUAAAGCUAUGUUAAAAUUCUUCCAUAUGGGUAAUUCCAUGACAAAUUGACCAGUGAUUUGGCCGACCAUCUCAAAAAUGAAUGAAACUUGGCAUGUUAGUUAUGUAUGUUGUACAUGUUAAUAAAAUCAAAAUUUUAGAGUGCUAGCUCAACCAGAUCCAAAGAUAUACGCCUUUAAAUCGAAAAUCGCGAAGUGCAUGAUUUCAUUAAAUCUUGUUAUUUUAAAAAAUACUUAAGAUAGAGUUACAAAUUAUAUAUCAUUUUAUAACCCAUAAAAUUUUACGUUGGUAUAUAUAAAAAAAUUAAAAUAUUUCAAGUGUUUUCUUAUUUCCGGUAAAAAUAAAAAAUUAACAUUGUU